UAAAAAGGUACUCAAGGGCACACAAUGGAUGCCUAGACGUAUAUUACCGAUGAAGGACGUGGAAGACUGCGAUAAGCUUCGGGUAGCUGUCAACAAGCUGUGAUCCGGAGAUUUCCGAAUGGGGAAACCUAGCAUGAGUCAUGUCAUGUUGCCACGUGCUGAAUACAUAGGCACGCGAGCGGGAACCAUCUGAACUGAAACAUCUUAGUAGGAUGAGGAAAAGAGAGUAAAUAACUAUUGCGAAAGUAGUGGCGAGCGAAAUCGCAACAGCCCAAACCUUUUAAGUUUUUGCCUAUUUAUUUAGGCAAAUAAGUUGAUAGACGAAUACUUAGAAGGGGUUGUGAAAUAUCAUAUGACCAAGCCAGAGAACUUGAUUCUUCUGAAUCGAGCUAUCUGGUUUGCGACUACUGGCUAUCAACGGUAGGUAAGGUAAAAAUCAGCGUGGUUAGCAGAACAAGUUUGAAUACUUGGUCAAAGAGCGUGAAAGCCGCGUAUGCGAAAACAACGCUGACCUUAUGUAUGGUGUUUCGAGUAGGUCGGGGCACGAGAAACCCUGAUUGAAUCCGGCUGGACCACCAGCCAAGGCUAAAUAUAAUAUACGAUCGAUAGCGAACUAGUACAGUGAUGGAAAGGUGAAAAGAACCCCGGGAGGGGAGUGAAAUAGAUCCUGAAAUUGUGUGCCUACAAGGAGUCGGAGCCGGCUUGUCCGGUGACGGCGUGCUUUUUGUAGAACGAUCCAGCGAGUUAAUUUCGUGCGCAAGGUUAAGCCAAUUGGCGGAGCCACAGUGAAAGCGAGCCUGAAUAGGGCGAAUGAGUGCACGGGAUUAGACCCGAAACCGGGUGACCUAACCAUGAGCAGGCUGAAGCGACGGUAACACGUCGUGGAGGGCCGAACCAGGGUACGCUGCAAAGUGCUUGGAUGACUUGUGGUUAGCGGUGAAAUGCCAAUCGAACUCGGAGAUAGCUGGUUCUCCUCGAAACAGUUUUAGGACUGGCGUCAUGUAGUAGCAGUCGGGGGUAGAGCUCUGUAAAGGACUGGGGCUGGCAACGGUACCCACCCUUAACAAACUACGAAUACCGAUUGUGGAAUCAUGGCAGUUAGAACGGCGGAGCUAAGUUCGUCGCUCAAAAGGGAAACAGCCCAGACCAUCGUCUAAGGUCCCUAAAUUUACGUUAAGUGGGAAACAAGGUGAGAUUUCUUAAACAGCUAGGAUGUUGGCUUAGAAGCAGCCAUUCAUUUAAAGAGUGCGUAACAGCUCACUAGUCAAGAGAUCUUGCGUGGAAAAUGUAACGGGGCUAAACGUAAUACCGAAGACAUGGAUUGUAUGCUUUGCAUACAGUGGUAGAGGAGCGUUCCUAUCAGCAGUGAAGCAGUAUUGUAAAGUAUUGUGGAGUGGUAGGAAGUGAGAAUGCUGGAAUGAGUAACCAUAAGAGAGGUGAGAAUCCUCUCGGCCGUAAGAGCAAGGUUUCCUGAGCCAUGGUAAUCAUCUCAGGGUUAGUCGGGCCUAAGCCGAGGCGCAGAGCGUAGGCGAUGGACAUCAGGUUAAUAUUCCUGAACCGGUAUAUACUUGUAUGCUAUUCACGGCGAGAUAUCCGGAGCGGAUUCAUGGUUUAUCCGUCCAACCUCGUGGGAACGCGAAGGGAGUGAAAGUUACCCUUUUGGGUGACGAUUCUGGAGAAGGCGCUGGCAAGAAAAGUAGACAUACGCGUGGUAUAUGCCGCCCGUACCGCAAACCAACACAGGUGCUCGAGUCGAGUAGACUCAGGCUUACGAGAGAACCUUCGCUAAGGAACUCGGCAAUACAGCGACCGUAACUUCGGAAUAAGGUCUGCCCCCACUUCGGUGGAUAUGUUGUCAGUUCAUAGCUUAUAGGUGUGGUUAAAGAAAGAGUAUCUUUAAUACAUCAAUUCUUCUUGAGAUAGAACCAAGCUUUGGAACUGAAGCUCAACACAUCUAGCGAUGUGGGGGCCGCAGCAAAAGAGCCCACGGAACUGUUUAUCAAAAACACAGCUCUCUGCCAACACGAAAGUGGAUGUAUAGGGGGUGACUCCUGCCCGGUGCUGGAAGGUUAAGGGGAGUGCUUUACGGUGCGAACUGAAGCCCCAGUGAACGGCGGCGGUAACUAUAACCGUCCUAAGGUAGCGAAAUUCCUUGUCAGGUAAGUUCUGACCCGCACGAAUGGAGUAAUCAUGUGGGCACUGUCUCAGCGAAGGACUCGGUGAAAGUGCAUUGGCGGUAAAGAUGCCGUCUGUCCAUACCAGGACGAGAAGACCCCAUGGAGCUUUACUACAGCUUUACAUUGAUCCGGGUUUCAACAUGUGUAGCAUAGUUGGGAGACUGCGAAGCAGAUACGCUAGUAUUUGUGGAGUCGCAAUGUGAAAUACCAACCUUGUUGUGAUCUUGAUCUCACUUGUGCCGUUAUCCGGUAUGAGGACCGUGUAUGGUGGGUAGUUUAACUGGGGCGGUUGCCUCCUAAAGAGUAGCGGAGGCGUUCAAAGGUUGGCUAACUUCGGAUGGAAAUCGAAGUGAUAGUGUAUGCGCACAAGCCAGCUUGACUGUGAGGACUACAAUCCAAGCAGAGACGAAAGUCGGAGCAAGUGACCCGCUGUAUGUACUUUGUACAAUGUAUGUGGGAACGACAGCGCACACGGAUAAAAGUUACCCUGGGGAUAACAGGCUUAUAGCGCCCAAUAGUUCACAUAGACGGCGCUGUUUGGCACCUCGAUGUCGGCUCAUCACAUCCUGGAGGGGGAGCACCUUCCAAGGGUUCGGCUGUUCGCCGAUUAAAGUGGUACGCGAGCUGGGUUCAGAACGUCGUGAGACAGUUCGGUUUAUAUCCGGUAUGGACGUUAGGAAAUUUGAGAGGAUCUGCCCCUAGUACGAGAGGACCGGGGUGGACGCACCUCUGGUGUACGGAUUGUGGCCACCUGCUGCAUUGUCCGGUAGCUAUGUGCGGACCAGAUAAGCGCUGAAAGCAUAUUAAGCGCGAAACUGACCUCAAGAUUAGAUUUCCCUAUGAGGGCCGUGAAAGACGAUCACGUUGAUAGGUGCAAGGUGGAAGUGCAGUAAUGCAUGGAGCCGAAGCAUACUAAUCGCCCCAUUGCCUUUUUAUG
rnacentral:rRNA from 1 species